UUUCACAUACACAAGUUUGCAUUGAUAUUGACAAACCAAUUUCGCAUACAAUAAAAUCAUAAUACAUUACAUGUUUCCAUUAUUCAUUAUACAAAGUUUACAAGUCCAUACCAUUUCAUAGAAUCAUAGUUCAUUACAUAUAUUCAUACAAAGAAAAAGAUCCUAAUUUUAUACUUGCCUUCAUGCUACAUGUUUUAUUCAUAUUGCUAACACUUCAUGGCAUACAUCACAUGGCACACCAAUCACACUUUGAGCCACACUUUGUCAAGGAAGCCCACACAACAAACAAAAUCAUUCUAAACAUCAAUCCAAGCAGUCCA
rnacentral:lncRNA from 1 species